rnacentral:rRNA from 1 species
CACGUAGGGGGCAAGCGUUGUCCGGAAUCAUUGGGCGUAAAGCGCUCGUAGGCGGUUCGGUAAGUCGGGGGUGAAACCUCCAGGCUCAACCUGGAGACGCCACCCGAUACUGCUGUGACUAGAGUCCGGUAGGGGAGCGUGGAAUUCCUGGUGUAGCGGUGAAAUGCGCAGAUAUCAGGAGGAACACCAGCGGCGAAGGCGGCGCUCUGGGCCGGAACUGACGCUGAGGAGCGAAAGCGUGGGGAGCAAACAGG